rnacentral:rRNA from 1 species
AUUGAACGCUGGCGGCGUGCUUAACACAUGCAAGUCGAACGAAGGCUUCGGCCUUAGUGGCGGACGGGUGAGUAACGCGUGGGAAUCUACCUUACGGCGGGGAAUAACAGCGGGAAACUGCUGCUAAUACCGCAUACGCUCUACGGAGGAAAGGCUUCGGCCACCGUUUGAGGAUCCCGCGUCCGAUUAGCUAGUUGGUGAGGUAACGGCUCACCAAGGCGACGAUCGGUAGCUGGUCUGAGAGGAUGAUCAGCCACACUGGGACUGAGACACGGCCCAGACUCCUACGGGAGGCAGCAGUGGGGAAUAUUGGACAAUGGGGGAAACCCUGAUCCAGCGACGCCGCGUGAAUGAUGAAGGCCUUAGGGUUGUAAGGUUCUUUCGUCCGUGACGAUGAUGACAGUAGCGGAAGAAGAAGCUCCGGCUAACUUCGUGCCAGCAGCCGCCGUAA